AUAAGCUCAACCGGAUAAACGUGUAUAGAGUGGAAUUAAAAUUAGUGGUUGAGAGAGAGAUGGCUGCCACCGCCGUGACCGGCAGCUGCAACACCACCUUCCUCCCUUCCUCUCUCCCAAAACCUCCGCCUCCGAUAUCGCGACAAUUUCUCCAUUCUUAUAAAAUCACUGCACCUCAACACCUGACGCUGAUUAGUACUUCAAUCACCCGACUUUCUGUUUCAUCGCCUGAAACUAGCGCCGUUGAAGCACAACAAAGUGACGAUGGCGUCUCUUCCUCCUCUGCCUCUCUCACGGGGUGUAAUGCUUGUGGAAGGGAAGAGAUUGAGAGGGGUUGUAACGGUGAAGGAAGGAUUCAAGGUGGGAUUGCCACUGUCCCGGGCUUUGGCUGGUGGCCAAUAAAAGCUUACCGGCCUUGCCCUGCAUACCUGCAGUCGGGAGGGAGGUACAGAAGAACAGGCCAAAGCAUGGACGAAGUUGUCUCUGGAGGUGGUGGCCAUGCCAAACCUGCAUCAAGCAAGAAAAAGGAAGGAUCUGAGUAAGUCGAGAGAUAACUAAAUGUUCAAGAAUGCUUCAAUGGUGUUAGGCAAGUUUAAUUUCUAGCACAAGAAGAAUCAUCUAGUUUUUCUUGCAUCAACAAAAGCCAUGUCCUUAUUCUGUUUCUUUUUUGUUUGUUUGUUGGUAUAUGCAACGUUAAAUUCAAGGACCGUGCCACACUGGACUCGAGCCAGAGAUCUUUGUACACACGAGCAAGAAGAGCUAUUUCUUCUACUCGGAGUUGAAUUUGCAGCAAUCCUCAUUUGCUGAAUCAAUGCCUCUGUAUUCACCUCUUCUGAUAAAAUCUUUUCCAAAUCUUUGGGGUUGAUCACUAGCUUCACUUUCCAAACGCCGUUCCCUGGCCUCGGCUGCACCUCCACCGUCUUCCUCCUCGCCCCCGCCUCUAUCCUUACUGCUCCCUCUUCAGCAUCUGAGGCUGCCUUCAAAGAGCAGUUUCCCAUGAUGUAAGAUAUAUAUUGGUAUGUGUGAAUGAUGGUUAUUUCUUGCUCUUCUUUCUAUGACUGUGCACUGUGAAAGUGAGGGGCUUUGGGGGUAUUUAUGAGAGAAAUUAGUAGGUGGAUUAAGAUAAUGAAAGGGUCACGGAUUUAAUUUGGGGUAAAAGAGCAUCUUGUUUUUAAAAAAAAUAAACUACUAGAAUUUUAAGGGAGCCUUAAAGAAUGGCAAUGGCCAAUGGGGAGUGAUCCCAUGUUUGAAAAGUUGGUAUUUCUGUGCAACGACAUUUUGAGCCCAAUCAGGUCUAGGUGGUGUGAAUGUGGAGUUUCUAGAUCCCCUUUUCUUGCAUUUAUUUUAAUAAUAUUCGUAUUAUUCUCUUUUGGUUCUUAAUUUCUUGUCAUUAUUCGAAUUGAUAAAUUUUGAGCCGUAAUUGAUGAUUUUGUAGUUUCUUGGUUUUUA